rnacentral:rRNA from 1 species
GACGAAGGGGGCAAGCGUUGUUCGGAAUUACUGGGCGUAAAGCGCGCGUAGGCGGCGUCGUCAGUCAGAGGUGAAAUCCCAGGGCUCAACCUGGGAAUUGCAUUUAAAACUGUCCAGCUAGAGUCUUGUAGAGGGGGUAGAAUUCCACGUGUAGCAGUGAAAUGCGUAGAGAUGUGGAGGAAUACCGAUGGCGAAGGCGGGUCUCUGGGCAUCUCCUGACGCUGAGGCGCGAAAGCGUGGGGAGCAAACGGG